GAUGAACGCUGGCGGCGUGCCUAAUACAUGCAAGUCGAGCGGUAACAGGAAGAGCUUGCUCUUCGCUGACGAGCGGCGGACGGCUGAGUAACGCGUAGGAACGUACCCCAAAGUGAGGGAUAAGCACCAGAAAUGGUGUCUAAUACCGCAUGUGGUCUAAGGAUUAAAGCUUCGGCGCUUUGGGAACGGCCUGCGUUUGAUUAGCUUGUUGGUGAGGUAAAAGCUCACCAAGGCGAUGAUCAAUAGCUGGUCUGAGAGGAUGAUCAGCCAGACUGGGACUGAGACACGGCCCAGACUCCUACGGGAGGCAGCAGUAGGGAAUUUUCCACAAUGGGCGAAAGCCUGAUGGAGCAACGCCGCGUGCAGGAUGAAUGCCUUCGGGUUGUAAACUGCUUUUAUAUGUGACGAUUAUGACGGUAGCAUAUGAAUAAGGAUCGGCUAACUCCGUGCCAGCCGCCGCAGUAACAC
rnacentral:rRNA from 1 species